UAUCAUAUGUGCUGAGAUUCCUGAUUAUG
rnacentral:sRNA from 1 species